GAGAGAGAGAGAGAGAGAGAGAGUGUACUUGCAAUAGCUCAGGGAUAGAGCACCUGAAUGGACACUCUCUCUCUCUCUCUCUCUCUC